UUGAAUUUCUCGUAAGCUAUAAGAAUAACACUUCAAACGUAAAUGAAUUACUAUAGUCUUCAAUAUUAUUAUUUUAUUUUUUAUUAUUUUAAUUGCCAUUGUUUUUGAUCGAAAGUUUAAUAGAUCUUUUAUUAUUGAGUAGCAUGUGGUAUCGAUUAAAAUCGAUAAAACAUAUUUUUAAAAACAAAUAUUCUAGAUAAGUGAGCAGCUAUCCUUUUUAAUAUAUAAUAUUCACUGAAUUUGCAAGUAAUAUAGAUAUUUUAAUACACCAGAUAUCAAUACUACGUUCUGUACUCGUAUACACACUGAAGCUACAAUUUCUUUUUUAUUUAAGGUAAGAGUACCAGUACCCAGCCUCUAACCAGUAGUCAGCCGGUCAUAUACUUUUACAUUGGCUCAAAAUAUAUAUAGAUAUAAUUUAACAUGAAGUGGCUGGCAACUGGUAUCGGGCUAGGUAAUGGUGCUCUUACUCUACUACUAAAUAUAGGUAUAGUAAUGUCUAUAUUUAAUUUUUCAGAAAGCUUAUGUGCGUACCAUUGGCGGAAGAAAUGGAUGUGAUUUCGUGAAAAAUGUAUUUCUAUUAAUUUAUGAUGAUAAGUUUGCUUCCGAAAAUACGUGGAUGGGAAAAAAAAACAAAAUGAAUCUCAGUGAAUCGAAAAUCAACAUAUUUGUGAGAGAUGUUAUUCAAAGCAAGUUUCCUGAUUUUACUAAUAGUAAUUUUAGUACCGAGGCAGGAGAGUGGUUUCGGCUGGGGAUGCAACGCUAUAAGCGUAAGCUCAGUAAGCCUGCUCCUGAUGUUUUACAAGAUUAGAUACGAAUAAGGCGGCAACCUUGGGUUACGAGAAAAAAUAAGUUAUUCGUUGAGUUAACCCCAUCACAUUACUAUACGAGAAAGAUAUUAUUUAUUAAAGAGUCAACUUGGAGUCCAGCAUCACUAGUGUUGAAAACAUCUACACUA